rnacentral:misc_RNA from 1 species
GAAAUACGAUAAAUAAUAUAAAUUAUAGAAUUUAGUGAAUCAUCAAAUCUUUAAACGCACAUUACGCCCCUCAGUAUUCUAUAGGGCAUACCUAUUCAAGCGUCAUCUACACCCUCAAGCUCUACUUAGUAUUAGGCGUCUAUCCCACCUUCGCGCAUAGACUCGCCCUAAAUGUAUUAAUAGUGGUCCUUGCCCCCUCCCACGCAGCACAUUACGCUUCUCGAGGCUAUGGCGGCCCACGUCCAACAAGCUAAACCCCCCCAUCUUUAACCUCAGAUUAGGUAGGGAUACCCGCUAAACUUAAGC